rnacentral:tmRNA from 1 species
GGGGGCGACUGGUUUCGACAUGGUACGUUUGAACUGAGGAGCAGGUCGUGGUCUCCUCGCCACGUUAAACAGGGGUAAAGUCAAGUUAAUUGGCAAAAAAUCUUAUCAGAGCGCUCCUGCGCUCGCCAUGGCUGCUUAAUAGCACCUGGCACGUCAACCUCGGGUUGUCCCCGGCUCGAGCGCGACGUCAUUUUAGGGGACUGCUUCAAAGCACGUAGUCUGUAUGGCUUUGGAAAAGAAAGAACGGGCUAGGAAGCUCGACGUUGGUUCGCGAACCGACAUCUUCCGAAAUUCGAUCGCGAAAUAAGCUUGUAGAGCCUGAGCAAGAGCGUAGUAUGGACCGGAGUUCGAUUCUCCGCGCCUCCACCA